GAAAUGCGAUAAGUAAUGUGAAUUGCAGAAUUCAGUGAAUCAUCGAAUCUUUGAACGCACAUUGCGCCCGCCAGUAUUCUGGCGGGCAUGCCUGUUCGAGCGUCAUUUCAACCAUCAAGCCCCCGGCUUGUGUUGGGGACCUGCGGCUGCCCGCAGGCCCUGAAAAACAGUGGCGGGCUCGCUGUCACACCGAGCGUAGUAGCAUACAUUCUCGCUCAGGGCGUGCUGCGGGUUCCGGCCGUUAAACGACCUUCCUAACCCAAGGUUGACCUCGGAUCAGGUAGGAAGACCCGCUGAACUUAAGC
rnacentral:misc_RNA from 1 species